CUAUUCCUGUAUAAUUAUAUUUUGUAGAGAAGUUAAGACGGUGGCGCCCAAAUAAAGUGAGGUGAUGCUUAUGGUUCAAUCCUAUAAGCAACUUAAAAUCCUAACGAAAGGAGGGCGCAGUUGUGUCUGUAUCAGACGCAAUACAAUUAAUGCUAAUUUUCGGCACUUUCGCCGUUAAUUUAAUUGCAUUAG
rnacentral:sRNA from 1 species